CUGAACCAGCAACUUGGGGGAAAAUAUAGCAUUAGCUAGUUGUAUUAAAUCUAAUACAAUAUCGAUUACGUCGAAUAAAUUUCUAGAUAGAAUAAUGAAAAUGACAAUUUUCUAUCUAUGUGUCUUGACCAAAACCCGUGCCAGCAGUCGCGGCAACACGUGUAAGACUAGUGUUAUUCAUCUUAAUUAGGUUUAAAGGGUACCUAGACGGUAUUUCUAGCCCAUAUUGGGGACAGAUUUGCUAGAGUUUUAUGUAAGGAGAUAGUAUUUUUGGUUUAGAGAUAAAAUUCUGCAAUACCUUAAGGACUGGCAAUGGCGAAAGCAAUCUUUGUGUUAUAAUUAAAUCUAAAUCAGCAGUACUUUUUUGAUUAUAACCAACUAUGUAAAAACUGACGUUAAGGGACGAAGGCCUGGGGAGCAAUAAGGAUUAGAUACCCUAGUAGUCCAGGCAGAAAAUAAUGAAUGUCAUAGAUUAGGAUUUUUUUUAGUCUAUAAAUGAAAGUGUAAGCAUUCCACCUCAAGAGUAAUGCGGCAACGCAGAAACUGAAAUCAUUAGACCGCGUCUGAAAUCAGUAGUGAAGUAUGUUAUUUAAUUCGAUGAUCCGCGAAAAAUCUUACCACAAUUUGAAUAUUUUUUUUAUUUACAGGUGCUGCAUGGCUGUCCUCAGUUGAUGUUGUGAAACUUUGGUUAAUUCCAUUGAAUCGACGUAAACCCUUGCUUUAUUUAUUUAUUCUUUGUAAUAAAGCAGUCCGCCGUUAUAUUGGAUAUGAUAAAAGGGACUAAGGCAAGUCAUCAUGGCCCUAAUAUUGUGGGCUAUAGACGUGCUGCAUAUACCUAUACAAAGAGAUGCAAGGAUG
rnacentral:rRNA from 1 species